rnacentral:rRNA from 1 species
AUUGAACGCUGGCGGCAUGCCUUACACAUGCAAGUCGAACGGCAGCACGGGUGCUUGCCCCUGGUGGCGAGUGGCGAACGGGUGAGUAAUACAUCGGCACAUGUCCUGUAGUGGGGGAGAGGCCGGCGAAAGCCGGAUUAAUACUGCAUACGAUCUACGGCUGAAAGCGGGGGCCGUUCGGGUUCCGCGCUUUCGGGUUGGCCGAUGGCUGAUUAGCUAGUUGGUGGGGUAAAGGCCUACCAAGGCGACGAUCAGUAGCUGGUCUGAGAGGACGACCAGCCACACUGGAACUGAGACACGGCCCAGACUCCUACGGGAGGCAGCAGUGGGGAAUUUUGGACAAUGGGCGAAAGCCUGAUCCAGCAAUGCCGCGUGUGUGAAGAAGGCCUUCGGGUUGUAAAGCACUUUUGUCCGGAAAGAAAUCCUUGGCUCUAAUACAGUCGGGGGAUGACGGUACCGGAAGAAUAAGCACCGGCUAACUACGUG